GAAAGUAAGCAAGGGCAGACGGUGGAUGCCUUGGCUCUCGGAGGCGACGAAGGACGUGAUAAGCUGCGAAAAGCUCGGGGGAGGCGCAAAUAGCCGUUGAUCCCGGGAUAUCCGAAUGGGGCAACCCGGCAGGCUGAAGGCCUGUCAUCCCGUAAGGGAGGCGAACGUGGGGAACUGAAACAUCUAAGUACCCAUAGGAGGAGAAAAUAAACAAUGAUUCCGUAAGUAGUGGCGAGCGAACACGGAAGAGCCCAAACCCAUGUCGUCUAGGCGACACGGGGGUUGUAGGACCACGACGUGGCAAGAUAGAGUCAAGUGGAACGCCUUGGAAAGGGCGACCGUAGAGGGUGAUAGUCCCGUACACGACUGACGAUUGAAGCCUAGUGGCAUCCUGAGUAGCGCGGGGCACGAGAAAUCUUGCGUGAAACAGCGGGGCCCAUCCCGUAAGGCUAAAUACUCCCGAGAGACCGAUAGCGAACCAGUACCGUGAGGGAAAGGUGAAAAGAACCCCGAGCAGGGGAGUGAAAUAGACCCUGAACCCGUCUGCCUACAAGCGGUCGGAGCGUUGUUAUGACGUGACGGCGUGCCUUUUGCAUAAUGAACCUACGAGUUACCUUCCCCGGCAAGGUUAAGUACCUAAGGUACGGAGCCGAAGCGAAAGCGAGUCUGAAGAGGGCGGCCAGUCGGGGGGGGUAGACGCGAAACCGAGUGAUCUACCCUUGGCCAGGUUGAAGGUUGGGUAACACCAACUGGAGGACCGGAUGGGUAAGCGUUGAAAAGCUUUCCAAUGAGCUGAGGGUAGGGGUGAAAGGCUAAUCAAACUCGGAGAUAGCUCGUACUCCCCGAAAUGCAUUUAGGUGCAGCCUCUUUAUAGUAUAUCGUGAGGUAGAGCGACUGAUUGGAUGCGAGGGCUUCACCGCCUAUCAAGUCCAGAUAAACUCCGAAUGCGCGAUAUAUAUUUACAGGGAGUGAGGGCGCGGGUGCUAAGGUCCGCGUCCGAGAGGAGAAGAAUCCAGACCACCGGCUAAGGCCCCCAAAUGAUCGUCAAGUUGAACUAACGAGGUCGGAUCGCAGAGACAGCUAGGAUGUUGGCUUGGAAGCAGCCAUUCAUUUAAAGAGUGCGUAACAGCUCACUAGUCGAGCGAUCUGGCGUGGAUAAUAAUCGGGCAUAAACGAUCUGCCGAAGCCGUGGAUGUCGUAAGACAUGGUAGGGGAGCAUUCCAUGCGGCGUCGAAGAUGAGGGAUGACCCUUGUUGGAGCGCAUGGAAAAGCAAAUGUAGGUAUGAGUAACGAUAAGGGGGGCGAGAAACCCCCCCGCCGAAAGACCAAGGUUUCCUGAUCAACGCUAAUCGGAUCAGGGUGAGUCGGGACCUAAGGCUAAGCCGAACGGCGACGCCGAUGGAAGAAUGGGUUAAUAUUCCCAUACUGCCUCAUGGAGUGACGUGGAGACGGAGAAGUGACAGUCCUGCCGGCUGACGGAAUAGCCGGUUGAAGGGUGUAGGAGUCGAUCAUGGUAGGCAAAUCCGCCGUGAGAUCCGAACCUGAGAGUAUACGGAGCGCUUGCGCGACGUAAUAUGGACGUAACCAUGCUCCCAAGAAAAUCCGCUAAACUUAUCCAUGCGGCACCCGUACCGUAAACGGACACACGUGGUCGGGUUGAGAAUACUGAGGCGCUCGAGUGACUCACGGUUAAGGAACUAGGCAAAUUGACCCUGUAACUUCGGGAUAAAGGGUCCUCGUCGUAAGGCGAGGCGCAGAGAAUAGGUCCAGGCAACUGUUUAACAAAAACACAUGGCUGUGCUAAAUGGAAACAUGACGUAUACAGCCUGACACCUGCCCGGUGCUGGAAGGUUAAGAGGAGAUGUCAUCGCAAGAGAAGCGUUGAAUUGAAGCCCCAGUAAACGGCGGCCGUAACUAUAACGGUCCUAAGGUAGCGAAAUUCCUUGUC
rnacentral:rRNA from 1 species